GACGAACGCUGGCGGCGUGCUUAACACAUGCAAGUCGAACGAUGAAGCCGGAGCUUGCUCUGGUGAAUUAGUGGCGAACGGGUGAGUAACACGUGAGUAACCUGCCCUUGACUCUGGGAUAACUGCGGGAAACUGUAGCUAAUACCGGAUACGACCCUCGGAGGCAUCUCCUGGGGGUGGAAAGAAUUUCGGUCAAGGAUGGACUCGCGGCCUAUCAGCUAGUUGGUGAGGUAAAGGCUCACCAAGGCGACGACGGGUAGCCGGCCUGAGAGGGUGACCGGCCACACUGGGACUGAGACACGGCCCAGACUCCUACGGGAGGCAGCUGUGGGGAAUAUUGCACAAUGGGCUCAAGCCUGAUGCAGCAACGCCGCGUGAGGGAUGACGGCCUUCGGGUUGUAAACCUCUUUUAGCAGGGAAGAAGCGAAAGUGACGGUACCUGCAGAAAAAGCACCGGCUAACUACGUGCCAGCCGCCGCGGUAA
rnacentral:rRNA from 1 species